rnacentral:rRNA from 1 species
AUUGAACGCUGGCGGCAUGCUUUACACAUGCAAGUCGAACGGUAACAGGCCUUCGGGUGCUGACGAGUGGCGAACGGGUGAGUAAUGCAUCGGAACGUGCCCAGAGGUGGGGGAUAACGCAGCGAAAGCUGUGCUAAUCCCGCAUGUGAUCUGAGGAUGAAAGCGGGGGACCGGGCAGCAAUGUUUGGCCUCGCGCCUUUGGAGCGGCCGAUGUCAGAUUAGGUAGUUGGUGGGGUAAAGGCCUACCAAGCCGACGAUCUGUAGCUGGUCUGAGAGGACGACCAGCCACACUGGGACUGAGACACGGCCCAGACUCCUACGGGAGGCAGCAGUGGGGAAUUUUGGACAAUGGGCGCAAGCCUGAUCCAGCAAUGCCGCGUGCGGGAAGAAGGCCUUCGGGUUGUAAACCGCUUUUGUACGGAACGAAAAGGCUCUGGCUAAUACCUGGGGCUGAUGACGGUACCGUAAGAAUAAGCACCGGCUAACUACGUG